UUCAAAGUCAAAUCAGUGGCUUGAACACAGCUUUAUCUACACAGGUGACACAAGAAACUCACACACUUUCUGUUAUUUAAAAAACAACACCAGCAUUAAAUUGUCCUGCCACAGCAACAGGAGUCUUGCCAGACUGCCAUGGAAGCAGGGACAAUACAGGAAGGAAAAUCUUUUAAACCUGACUCAUUUUGGAUUUCAAAAGUACAACUGACAUUGUUAUGCCAGCAGCACAGGCCUGCACAGGUGAGAGUAAGAGACAAUUCAUUUCAGUACAGCAUGAUUAUUUGGGUGUAUUUGAAAGUAAUUACAGAUAACAGAAGUAGAAAUAAGCUGGAAAACAUCAAGAAGAAAGUUCCUCUUCACAGAAACUAAUACAUGGAAAAUGCAGAUCCUUCCAAUGUUUUGUAUAGCCUUUUUAAAGUUAUUUAUAAGUUCCUAAGGCUGAAGAAUACACCUCUUGGAAGACAGAGAUUUUUCACAGCCCUUUAAAAUAGAAAAAGUUCGUUAAUAGAAUCAAAAGUUCAUAAGUUAAAAAAAUUUCCAUUUUCUAACUGCAUCUCUCUAUCAGAGAUUACAUGAAAAGGCAAAAAAUGUAAGUCCAUAGGCCCAAAUAAUGUGAUUUGUGAUACAGAGAUAUGUGUGCCCUCUGAAACCCUCAGCAAAGGGAUCAAGAGUCAAUAAUGGUUUCUUCAGCUUUUUACAGGGGAAGCAGUUUAGAAACAAAGUGUCAAUCUCAUAAAAAUCAUCACAUGGAAAUUACUGAUGAACUUGGGGACAAAAUUAUUAACAGGAGCAGUGUAGAAUCAGUUGCACUUCUUUAGUUCUUUGAAAAUGUUAUCCAGUUGUAUUUGGCACCCUUUUAUAUUUGUAGAACAGAAAACCUCCCUUGUUAUUCUGUACAUUCAGAUAGUAUUUGAGUCUCAUGGACUUUCACCUUUUCUUUGCAAUUAGGUUUUGUCAGUUAUUUGUAAUUUUGUCACCUCCAGAAUGGAUUACCCCAUCAUUUAGGGCAAGCCCAGAGGGACCUUUGGCACCACCAGUCUGUGGCUGCAGAGGAGUUUUGACCAAUGUGCCCACACCACACUCAGACUCUGCCCAUUGCUUUGGAUACCUCCAGUUCUUGGUGAAAUUCAUACUUUUAGUGAUACAUUGGGAAGCCUUUGAUAAUUUGGAAUUCCAUUUAAAUAUAGCGUCUCCUUCAAAUUUGAGUUGUUGCUGUCGGAAGCUUGGUUUUUCCAAACCCAUGAGCUGAGUAUUUUUGAGAUCAAAAAUCUGCAGUUGGCACAUCCUGGGCACUGUAAGUCAAACCAGCUACAAAUGUUACUGUAUUUCUAAAUUUGAAUUGUCUGGUUCUUUGCCCCUUUGUUGCUGGAUUGGCAGGGGUGGGGUAUUCCUGGAUUUUUGAAGGAGCUUUACAAAAGGCAGAUCAACUUCCUAGCCUGGAAGUCAGAACAUUCCUGGUUUUACAGGUUUUUAUGCACAAACCUGCUGGCCUGUGGGGACUAAGGAGUGCUGCAAAACCUCUCCUUUGUGUCAGCACGAGGAGCAGUUUGAGCCCUCCAACAUCAGGCAAAUUGUUACACACCAGGAUGAUCCCCUCCAGACCAGGCAGGCUGGGGCUGAGCCCUGAGAUGCUGCAUAAUAAACUAAAUAGGAAAAUGUGCAUGUCUGAAAAGGGAAUUAUCUCUGUGGUAUAAUGACUGCUAUGCCUCCCUGGUGUGGGACUUUGUUCAAGCACUUUUUUUUUCCAAGCUGCUAUUGCCAGCUCCAAAUGUUCAAGAACUACAGUUUGACCCUCAAAAUCACAAGCCUGUCUGUGAAAUUAUAAAUGUGGAGCUCUUUUACUGUGCUUUCUGUUAGGGUGCACCUGGGUCACACUUGCAAGCUUUAUACUCUAACCAUUAGGACUAGAAACUUACUUUAAAUUAAAGAAAGAGGAAAGCUGAGUUUCUAACCUCAUUACACAACUGUAGUAGCUGGAGUGUAAGUGAAACAUCAAACAUCACAAGACUUGUGAUAAAAUCAUGAGUGCUGACAACAUCAAUUUAGAGUAGGAGGUGGGAUAGCAGGGGAAACUCAGGGCAAAUGGAUUUACUUUUUAUCUUAAUGUUUUUACAGGCUGUCUGCUUUUAUCUUUAAUCAGAAGUUUUCAGUGGCAGUUCUUUCUUCGUGUAUCUGUGCAUGACAUUAAAAGGUCACUUCUGCAUUAAUACCUGAUGCCAUUUGCUAACUGCAUCUCUCUAUCAGAGAUUACAUGAAAAGGCAGGUGUACUGAUGGUACACCUGGUGCUAAUAUCACAGCAAAGAGGAAUUAUGGAAGUCCAGGUCAUCAGUGCAUGGGUAAAACAGCAUUGAGAGGGAUUCUAGUCCCCUGUGGGGUGUGUGUGUGAAGAAUACAGGAUGUUUCUCAUGGCUCUGAUAUUUACUGUCUGAGCAGAGAAUAUUGUAUGGAGAAUCUGCCAGCAAAGCUCCACAAUCUUUGUGGAAUGGGUUGUUUUAAGGCACUGCAUGCUGGAUUUUUUUUAUGCCUGAAAAUUACCUCAAUGAAAAAUAACAUGUAAACUUACAAAGGUAGGUACAGUUAAACCUUUCAUUAGAAUAAAUUGUCUGUAAUUAAGCCAAGUAAUUAACGGAUCACUAUGAUUAUAGAUCAACAGACUGCCCAGAUCAAGAAUUCAGGUCAGUUUUUCAUGAUGCCAAAGUGGCAACAGUGACAAAGUGGUCAGCUGUCCCUCCACUAUUAGAGGCAGUUUCCAAACCAUGCUUUUAUUGUUGGAAAUGCUCCAGUUUGAGGGAAUUGUGCACUCACCAGUCCUUCCAAUCACAUGCAAAGAGUUGUCAGUGGCAGGUUCCUUGGUCACCCAGCUGCUGGUCUGAUCUGUCACUGAUCUGAGAGUGCCAGGGCAGCAGAGUGGCCACUUAGAAGGCAGCUCCAGCACAGGGAAUACUCUUGCUCUACCAUCAUAAUCCUGGGAUUUAAAGUAGGGAGCUAAGCCUGGUCCAAAUGGUCAGUUUGCUUCAGCUGCUUAGCACAGCACCAGGGGUACAAGCAGAGUGCACAAAUGAAUUUCAUGGUGGCAAGCCAGAGGUUUUUAUAUGACAUAAUGCUGAUAUUAUAUAUCUUCCACUCAUGAAACCAGCUCCAGAUGCAUCUGGGUGGGACUGAGGUCUUUAGUUCAUGGGUGAUUGUGUUGCUAAUUGGAAGGAGAGACGCAGCCCCUGUGUGAAUCAAGAGGAGGUGUUGAGGGUCUGUAGUGUGGCUCUUUUCACAGCAGAAGGGAUCCAGCCCAGCACUAUUCCAGCAGAUAUAUAAUGAAAUCAGAAUAUCCCAUUAUUCCCCCCAAAAACAUCACAAACUCAGAAAAUUCAAGACAAGUAUACACAAUUUGAAAAUCCUAAUAACCAUAAGUUUGCUUUGAUGUGAUACAUAACAAGUAACUCACAAGCAUUAGAGAAUUUCAUAGUUCACAAGCAUGAGAGAAUUUCAUCGUUCAUAGCCUGAAUUUGGGAAAAAACCCCACAAUUUUAGAAGAGAAAUUACUUUUAAAAACAUGCUUCAGUACAUUUUUGUUCCACAUACUGCUACAGGAAAAGGGUUUGACCUGUUUGUUCUCAUGCAGGUGAUUUGGUGUUCGGUCUGAUUUGAUAGAUUUCAUCUUUCUACAAAACUCAAGUACAGAGGUCAAAGAAGGAAAUGCUUUGUCAUCCCUGCCUGCUUUCAUGGGGGAGCAUUGAGGUUAGCCUUCUGGAUGUAAAAUCUUACCACAGAGACAGAAAACAAGAUUGGCUAACCACAAUGACUUGACUCAAAGAAUUAGCAGCUCUGACAUAAUGGAGACAUUCCUGAAAAAUCUCAAGUCAGAGUUCUGCUCACUUUUGUGAAUAAAUAGCAAUCAAAAAAUCUAGGGCAAUAAAACUCCAUAGGCAUCUCAGAAUUUUAUUUCAGCCAACAUCAAUCUUCCUUCCCUUCAGACAAGCUAAAUUAUACUGGUAAAUCAGCGACAUUAAAUCAGUCAAACCAGCUGAAUGCAAAAGCUGAGGGAACAGACCAAAUUUGAACUGUGUAUACUGAGAGAAAGAAAACUGCUCAUAAAGUUAAAUCUUAAAUAAACAUGAACCUUUAGAGGGGGUACACAGGGAAAAGGAAAGACUUCAGUCCAAAACUUCAGAGAGGCCUCUGAAUAAAUGUACAGGGGAGUGGGAAAUGGACUUGGAUUUCUCUGUGCUUCAGAGGCUGCAGCUUAUGGAGCCAGAGCUGUAAAGGAGCUAAAUCAGACUUACCAAGAGGACAGAGCCAUGGCUAGCAGGGCUAACCACCAGGAGCAUUCCCAGUCUGAUGGAUUCUGUAGCUGACACUGCUGGAAUGAUGCUGUUGGAGGCGCAGGAUCCGGCGUGUUCCAACCAUCUGCACAAAGUAGGCCACGGCAGCCCCGGCUCUCGGGGGACUCCUGGAUGUCACUGCAGUGGCUGAGGACAUGACAUCCCUGCCUUUGCAGCUCAGGACCCUUCCUGCAGGGACAUCCCUGCCUUUGCAGCUCAGGACCAUCCCUGCAGGGACAUCCCUGCCUUUGCAGCUCAGGACCCUUCCUGCAGGGACAUCCCUGCCUUUGCAGCUCAGGAUCAUCCCUGCAGGGACAUCCCUGCCUUUGCAGCUCAGGACCUUCCCUGCAGGGACAUCCCUGCCUUUGCAGCUCAGGACCAUCCCUGCAGGGACAUCCCUGCCUUUGCAGCUCAGGACCAUCCCUGCAGGGAUGGAGAUGCUGGCAUGACGGCUGCCAGGUCACCGAUGGGGCAGUGAAAUCUCCCUGUUAGGUGAAGCUGAUUUGUGAGGAAGAUACAGGACCAGGAACUGCUGAGCUCCAGGGCAGUGUGUGUUUGGUUCUGCUGAUCAUACAAGAGGGAAAAUUCAGUAAUGGAACCUCCACUGGCUGAGGUAGCUGUGGAAAUGCUGAUCAACUGCAGGGUCGUGCCUCAAACCCUGUGAGACUCCAGAGGUACAGGCACUCUUUUCACUAAAGCCAAGGACUUGUCUUACAUCACCCAUAUCUCUCCCACACAGCUCCCAAAUGACACAGGACACGGGGUUUGAAUGCUCCAAUACAACAUUCUUCAAGCUUGCCACAUCUGUAGGAACAGGAUGGCUCACUGCUUUGUAGGUGCCCUGGAACAACCUUUAUUCAGAGCAAAUGUUGGGGAAACUCUAAUGAAGGAACACCCAUGCACAUACAGACAGCAGAAACCAGUAAGAAAAUCCUGAUUUUCUCCUCCUGUACUGCAGAUCAGCUGCAGGAGGCAUUUUGCUGUUCCGUCCAGUGAGGCAGCUGUGAACUAUCUGUGGCUGGGAUCUGCCAUCCCCAUACAACCAUUUUGAGUGAGGUUUUCUCAAGGAGUGCCCAGAGAUGGAAAACUGAAUUUGCCUUAAUUCAGAGUUCACCACAGAUCUCCCUCUGCUCUACUCCUGUUGAGCAAGGGACAUCUGAACUUGUCUGCAGAAAGCAGCUGAAAAAAAGGCAGAAAGGGGCAAGAAUGACUUGAGAUUACUCAUCACUUGAGAUUCCUUUGAUUUCCUCUCACAAUAUGAAACAGUAGAGGUGGAGCAGGUUUAGUAGAUCAGUGAAUGCAUCUUACUUGAAGAACAGGAUUAAUAUCUUCCCACAGCCAUCCACAAUGAAGAAUUCUUCAGUUGCCAAAAUAAUUCUGUGCUGAACAGAGGAAUCCACAGGUGGGAAGCAGUUCUCAGUGAAUUUGCUUUCUGGGUACUUAAUAACUGCACAUAUUCAACAGCAUCACUCUCGAAACAAACAAGAGCAUUUUCUCUGUGGUGCCCUCCUGCCUGUUGGCCAAAGGGAUCAGAAUCCCCAGUUCUGUUCCUAAAGGCUGGAUCCACACUACCAACUGGUGGGUUGAUCCUUGCCAAGACAUUUUUAGAGGAAUUAUAAAAAUCCCUCUUACAGAGGGGAAUUAUAUGCAGUACUUAGGCAAAACAGGCAUUCCAUUUAUAAAUAUAAUUACUUCUGCUAUUCUAUCAAGAAAAAGAAUGUAGUAGUGAGGGAUACAACAGAGAAAAUUAUUUAUGUGUUGACACUUGACAAUAUAAAUAGAAAACAGAUCUGGUUGGAACUAAGUGGGAAAUGAAAAAAACAUGAGAAAAUAUGUAACUGAGAUUACCAGUUGUGGGGAUAAUUUAUGACCACUCCUAAUGCAUUCUUUCCAAUGGAAGUACAGUCCCUCAUUUUGCUUUAUGUUUGGACUGUAAUUAUGUGUGCACUUAAUUAGCAACAAAUGCACAAGCUUACUUUGUGUGUUUUUGGCAAAUUAUCUUCUUUUGACUGAUGCCCUGAACACUACAAAGCAGACACUGGUCUGCUGUGUAAAAGAGGGAACAGAAGAUGGCUUGGACAUAGUCCCUGUGCUUUAGUGAGCUGUAGCACAGGUUGGGGAAGAAAGGAGUGAGAGUGCCAUUCACACUCACAAGCAGUGACUGGGUGAAAUAUUAUCUAUCACCUCAGGAAUGAUUCUGACCCCAUCUCUUGUAUUCACUCAGGUUGCUUGCCUGGGUAUGUCCAUUACUGCACAUCUUCUGCUUUAGAUUUGGGAAGAGUAUUUUUCUCCAGCAUCUUCACUCUUAAUAUUAGUGAUUUAUCACAUAUGGUGCACUAUAUUUUUACAAAGCUGUAAGAUACCAUGGUGAUUAACACCAUAUGAGAACCUAAAUAGAAGGGAACAGGAUAACAGAAACGUCCUCCCAGCAGACACAGGGCUUUGGCUUGUUUUUAGAGACAGUAUCUCAGCUGCAUGAUUUUACUCUGUACAUAAGAAUUCUAGAAUUUCCAUAAUAGAAAACUGUACUGUACUUGACAAUGCUGUGGAGAGAACAAAAAAACUCAUGUUUAAUUUCCCUCUAGCCUUUAACUAGGAUUUUCAGAUCAAUUUGGAGAGAUUGAUUAGUCUAACUCUUUUUAUCAUACGGAUUUAUUAAUUUGAUUUUAAAAGGCAGGAGAAAAAAUGUAAGAACCACAAGUAUUACCCCUUGUGUUUAUACAUGUACACAUAUAUAUUCUGGUAGGAAUUUCUGGUAGGAAAAUAUCCCAGCUUCACACAGCCUUGCAAACUUGUCCUGUCAAUACUGCAGUCACCACACAAAAUCUAUGCACUGAAUUGACAUGGUAAUGAGAAACUAAUCACAUUUUACUUACCCACCCAACCACUGUGAAAGCCUGGAGACACUGAAGGCUGCUUCAAGUGCACACAUCACUGCUGGGCACGGCCCAGCCCUUCUUUCCAAACAGCUCUGUCUUCACCCACCUGGGUUAGGGCUGGGAGAGCCUUCCCCCUGCACCACUGGAUCCAAAGCAGGGAUUUUACUGAAGUGUGGCAGCCAGCAAAAAAAGGGGGGAUUGUCUCUAGGCACGGGAUAAACCAGAAAGACAGCCUGGGUGAGUCCCCUGUGGUACAAAUGUGCUGGACAUGAAUUUUGGCUCCUGCUUUCCCUGCAGGGGAAGCCAAAGAUGUGUCUGCAGGCUGGGCAUCCCUGGGUACUGCUUGAUCCUCCAGGGCCAGGGCUGGCUGAUCCUCCAGGAGUCCAGGAGGGCUGCAGGGAGCGUGGGGAGAUGAGCAUGAGCAGCUCCACAUGCAUCUUCCCCCCAAGCAGCACAGCACAGGUUAAAUUAAAAAAUGCACUGGGGAAAAGGUUGUUUCUGUAAAACUGGUCACUAGCAGCCAGGCCCCCAGGGAUGCUCUCCUUGCCUAAGGAUGAAAUGGGAUUAUGAUGGUAAUGUUUGCUGCACUGUAAUUAAGGUGGUGUCAGGACUUUCAUUAAAAAGUGUGUUUUUGUUGAGGGACUACGGCUUGGAGAAAAUUUUUGCUUGAGGCUGAAAUAUAACAUGGUUCUCAGCCAGAAAACACAUGCACAACCUUUAUUAUAUAUGUAAUUUAGAUCUUUAGUCUCGGCUGUGAAGGCUCUGCUAUUGUUUCCAUAGGGGUAUGUAGCUAAUUGGUUUAAAAAAUUAGUUAUUAAAGAAGUGAAAGACUGAAUUCUGUUCUGGAACCUCUGUAUGUGACGUGUCCCCAUUAAUUGUCUGCAAUUAACUCCAAAAACCAAAGGCCAAAUGCUGCCCUUUUUACUCAGAAACACAAUGUUAUUGAAGUAAACAGCUGGAAACAGGAUUGGGCACCUGUGUCCAAGUUUUUACCUCACUACAACCCAAGGCCUCUCCCACAUUAUAACAAUUCUACUGAACGUGGGGCAGAGAUUAUUUCCUUGCAAAACUGGCAAUCUAUGGGAAGCCUAUUUCCAGAAACAGUAUUGAAAUUCCUAUUAUCACAGCACCCAGGAUCUCCGAUAAGGAACCACAACCCUGUGCACUAGGUUCUGUGCAAAAACACAGAAUAAAAACCCAGUAUAUGAUAAUGCACACCAACAAAUCCUUUCCCCCAUUUCGUGGCCAGGUUUGUAUUAUUUCUGUUAAGUAAUCUGAGUGUAACACACCACUCCUGCAAACAGCAAACACUGCUCAGACAUUUAUUUAACUUUCUGCAUGAUAAAGUCCCAACUUCACAGCAAUCUAUUGUCUUUCCCCAGGGGUGCACACAAAGGGGCCAACUACUGCCCUGGGUUCUUGCUGCUGGCUCUGGGGUUUUUCCAGCUAUCUGCACUUUUUGGCACACACUGCUUUCAGGUACUAAUUUGAUUUUCCUCAAACUAUUUGGAUUAGAACCCCCACACAAUUAAUAGUAUUAUAGUCACAAAAUAUAAUUUCUCUGCUGCCCACCACCACAUAGAUAAAAGAAUACUGAAGUUUAUAAAAUUACAGUUUUUGUAAAUGUGUAAACUAGACAGGAAUUCACAGAGAACGGAACAGAAGUUCCUAAGUAACUUGGAGAUAUUUAUGUGACUUUACAGGGAUGCUAAAAAAUACAACAUAACAUAGCACUAUUCAUUGUUCCUCCUAAGAAAAAAUUAUAUAAAUUGCAAGUUUAGGAAGAAUUUAAAUAUUUCUGCAAAUGUGUAAAGAACAAACUUUAAUCAGGAGGUAGUUGUCUUCAGUGAACCUAUUUAUGCAUCUAGUUACUUAUCUGCCUAAUUUAGCAUCCCCAGGAUCAUGGCCUCAGUUUGGAAUAACUUAAUGAAUUUCAGUAGAGUGCCUCAGCUACCACUUGUAAAAAUAGGAUGAUUCAAAUGCAAAUCAGUGCAAACAUGUGCAAAAUUAACAUUCCUAAUAGACAAAGCUUCUCCAUAUAGGAAGGUAUUAUUAAUGCUACUACCAGAGGUAGGCAAGCAUAAUUCCUCAUGUGGACAAACUCAAUCCGAGCACCUUUUUUUUGAUUUCACAUAAAUAAAUUAAAGGAAUUAGACUUAAUCUUUAAAAAAAAGAAAAAAAAAAA
rnacentral:lncRNA from 1 species